rnacentral:rRNA from 1 species
GAUGAACGCUAGCGGCAGGCCUAACACAUGCAAGUCGAGGGAGAAGCCCUUUCGGGGGCAGAAACCGGCGCACGGGUGCGUAACGCGUAUGCAACCUACCUUUCACAGGGGGAUAGCCCGAAGAAAUUUGGAUUAAUACCCCAUAAUAUUAUUGGAUGGCAUCAUUUGAUAAUUAAAACUGCGGUGGUGAAAGAUGGGCAUGCGCCCUAUUAGCUAGUUGGAGUGGUAACGGCACCCCAAGGCUACGAUAGGUAGGGGUCCUGAGAGGGAGAUCCCCCACACUGGUACUGAGACAGGGACCAGACUCCUACGGGAGGCAGCAGUGAGGAAUAUUGGUCAAUGGUCGGAAGACUGAACCAGCCAUGCCGCGUGCAGGAAGAAUGCCUUAUGGGUUGUAAACUGCUUUUAUAUGGGAAGAAUAAGGCGUACGUGUACGUUGAUGACGGUACCAUAUGAAUAAGCAUCGGCUAACUCCGUG